rnacentral:rRNA from 1 species
UGCAGUCGAGCGGACAGAAGGGAGCUUGCUCCCGGAUGUUAGCGGCGGACGGGUGAGUAACACGUGGGUAACCUGCCUGUAAGACUGGGAUAACUCCGGGAAACCGGAGCUAAUACCGGAUAGUUCCUUGAACCGCAUGGUUCAAGGAUGAAAGACGGUUUCGGCUGUCACUUACAGAUGGACCCGCGGCGCAUUAGCUAGUUGGUGAGGUAACGGCUCACCAAGGCGACGAUGCGUAGCCGACCUGAGAGGGUGAUCGGCCACACUGGGACUGAGACACGGCCCAGACUCCUACGGGAGGCAGCAGUAGGGAAUCUUCCGCAAUGGACGAAAGUCUGACGGAGCAACGCCGCGUGAGUGAUGAAGGUUUUCGGAUCGUAAAGCUCUGUUGUUAGGGAAGAACAAGUGCAAGAGUAACUGCUUGCACCUUGACGGUACCUAACCAGAAAGCCACGGCUAACUACGUGCCAGCAGCCGCGGUAAUACGUAGGUGGCAAGCGUUGUCCGGAAUUAUUGGGCGUAAAGGGCUCGCAGGCGGUUUCUUAAGUCUGAUGUGAAAGCCCCCGGCUCAACCGGGGAGGGUCAUUGGAAACUGGGAAACUUGAGUGCAGAAGAGGAGAGUGGAAUUCCACGUGUAGCGGUGAAAUGCGUAGAGAUGUGGAGGAACACCAGUGGCGAAGGCGACUCUCUGGUCUGUAACUGACGCUGA